rnacentral:lncRNA from 1 species
AUCUGGUCCUCCUGCAUAAAUCAUAGCACAGCUCAGCUUGACUCUGUUCUGUUGACAGCUUUGAGCAGAGUUUUUGAACCAAAAAUCUGAAUGUGUUUUCCUUUACUUCAAAAGGCUAGGAAAGGAAGAGUCAAUACAAUGAUUUUAACUAGAGUGAACACUUGCAGACAGUGAAAGCAAAUGUGCAAGCAUUAAUGGGUAUGUGCGAUUCCAGCAUUACUUUUUGCGUGGAGAGUUUACACAAGUCCUGCAUCACACAACCUCGUGUGUAAUACCACUGGAUAUCUGAACAUCAUCUUUCACGG